GGGGUUGUCAUUCAGUUGGUAGAGUGCUUGUCUGGGAAGCAUGAAGCCCUGGAUUUGAUUUCCAGCAAUGCAU
rnacentral:tRNA from 1 species